AGCCGCGUCGCCAUCUUACGGGACAGGGCGGGACAGGACAGGGCGGCACCGCCGCUGGAGCCCCUCCUGUCCUUUCAAAAGGAAGGAGAAACCUGAAAACACAUCACAGUUGUGAACCCUUGUGGUCUGUCUGCUGCUGGGAGAGGAGGAGCAAUGUGUUUGCUGCAGAGGGAUUAAACAGCUGAAGAAAACAGUCCAGCAGAAAGUGGCAGGGGCAGCUCCUGGGAGAAGAUAUCUGCCAGGAGGAAUGUGUUGUUGGCAGCUUCAGCCACUGAAGCUUUUGAGGAAGUGGGUUUGAUGCUGACACAAGAAAAAAUCCUGCAGGAUUCAAAGAUAUGCCAGUUCUCUCUGGGUCUCAGAGCUGCCAUGCAUUGCUGCCCAGGACACAGAGAUCUUCGUGCUCAUCCUCUGCUUUGAAAGGUUAAUUGUGCCAGUGGGGUGGCAGGAGGCUGAAGGGCAAUGCUCGUCCCCAGACUCCAGAUGCCAUGUUUGCAGUAGUGCCAGCAGCCUUUAUGGGCUUGCAGAGCAUUACCCAAGCCAUGCAGCAUCACUUCUGCAGGAGCAACAUCCCUGAUCCUUCCUCCAGAGCUGGUAUGUUGUGAUAUGUUGUAAUCUUUGGCAAAGACAGGGAGUGAAGGAGGAAUGCAAAUACAUUUGUC